rnacentral:misc_RNA from 1 species
AACCAUAGAAACCUGCGGAGUACCUGCGGAGGGAUCAUUAUUGAGACUUGAAACUUAACCAGGAAAGAUGAGGGGAGGGGAUGAAGGAGUUUUUCUUCUGAUUCCUUUUCUCUUGCCUUUCUUGGACAACCAACCAACACACAUGACUAGGAAAUCAGAAAUGGAGGGAUAAAAAGUGUGUGGGUAGACAGAGAGAUUUGAUUUGGACACUCUCAGUCGAACAUGCACGACGCAUAAACA